UACGUAGGGACCAAGCGUUGUUCGGAUUUACUGGGCGUAAAGCGCGCGUAGGCGGCUUUGUAAGUCGGAUGUGAAAGCCCCGGGCUUAACCUGGGAAUUGCAUUCGAUACUGCAUAGCUAGAGUAUGGUAGAGGGUAGCGGAAUUCCGGGUGUAGCGGUGAAAUGCGUAGAUAUCCGGAGGAACACCAGUGGCGAAGGCGGCUACCUGGACCAAUACUGACGCUGAGGUGCGAAAGCGUGGGGAGCAAACAGG
rnacentral:rRNA from 1 species